GGGAGGUAGUGACAAUAAAUAACAAUACAGGGUCCUUAUGGGUUUUGUAAUUAGAAUGAGUACAAUUUAAAUCUCUUAACGAGGAACAAUUGGAGGGCAAGUCUGGUGCCAGCAGCCGCGGUAAUUCCAGCUCCAAUAGCGUAUAUUAAAGUUGUUGCAGUUAAAAAGCUCGUAGUUGAAUUUCGGGAUUAGUAGGUUGGUCGUGCCUCUGGUAUGUACUGGCUUUACUGGUUCCUCCUUCUUGAAGAACUGUAAUGUCAUUAAUUUGGUGUUGCAGGGAAACAGGACAGUUACUUUGAAAAAUUAGAGUGUUUAAAGCAGGCUAGCGCCUGAAUACAUUAGCAUGGAAUAAUGAAAUAGGACGUUCGAUCCUAUUUUGUUGGUUUCUAGGAUUGACGUAAUGAUUAAUAGGGAUAGUUGGG
rnacentral:rRNA from 1 species